CCCAGACUCCUACGGGAGGCAGCAGUGAGGAAUAUUGGUCAAUGGGCGGAAGCCUGAACCAGCCAAGUCGCGUGAGGGAAUAAGGCCCUACGGGUCGUAAACCUCUUUUGUCGGAGAACAAAACCCGGGACGUGUCCCGGACUGCGUGUAUCCGAAGAAAAAGCAUCGGCUAACUCCGUGCCAGCAGCCGCGGUAAUACGGAGGAUGCGAGCGUUAUCCGGAUUUAUUGGGUUUAAAGGGUGCGUAGGCGGCCCGUUAAGUCAGCGGUAAAAUUGGGGGGCUCAACCCCGUCGAGCCGUUGAAACUGGCAGACUUGAGUUGGCGAGAAGUACGCGGAAUGCGCGGUGUAGCGGUGAAAUGCAUAGAUAUCGCGCAGAACUCCGAUUGCGAAGGCAGCGUACCGGCGCCAGACUGACGCUGAGGCACGAAAGCGUGGGGAUCGAACAGGAUUAGAUACCCCCGUA
rnacentral:rRNA from 1 species